GACGGAGGGUGCAAGCGUUGUUCGGAAUUACUGGGCGUAAAGGGCGCGUAGGCGGUCUGUUAAGUUCGGUGUGAAAGCCCCCGGCUCACCUGGGGAACUGCGCCGGAAACCGACAGACUCGAGUACCGGAGAGGAGGGUGGAAUUCCUGGUGUAGCGGUGAAAUGCGCAGAUAUCAGGAGGAACACCAAUGGCGAAGGCAGCUCGCUGGGACGGUACUGACGCUGAGACGCGAAAGCGUGGGGAGCAAACAGG
rnacentral:rRNA from 1 species